UACAGAGGUGGCAAGCGUUGUUCGGAAUUACUGGGCGUAAAGGGCGCGUAGGCGGUUCGUUAAGUCCUGUGUGAAAUCCCCCGGCUCAACUGGGGAACUGCACAGGAAACUAGCGGGCUUGAGUUCGGGAGAGGGAAGCGGAAUCCGGGUGUAGCGGUGAAAUGCGUAGAUAUCCGGAGGAACACCAGUGGCGAAGGCGGCUUCCUGGACCGACACGUGACGCUGAGGCGCGAAAGCUGAGGGGAGCAAACGGGGAUUAAG
rnacentral:rRNA from 1 species